UUUGUGCAUAUUUUCUGUGGUUUUCUGGUUUUUUUGGUGGCUGCUGCAGUUGGUUUCCUUCAGCUUUGGCCUUCGUUUUCUUCAGUUUUAGUGCAUGAUUUGUGUUCUAAUUUCGACCAAUUGCCCAGAUAGUUUUAUGAGGAAUAGAUAAAGAGGGAUGAAAAGAAUAGCUAACAAUAAGAGGAACUUUUCAGUACUGUCCUAUGAAACACGAAACACAGAUACAAACAUGAACACCGUAUACGACACAGACGCUGACACACCGACACCGCUAAUAAUUUGAAAAAAUUACAUAAUUCAGUGUAACUAUAUGUGUCAGUGUGGUGUCGGUGUUGGACACAACAUAUGUCUAACACCAGAGCACGGAUAGUCCAAGGAGUGUUCGUGCUUCAUAGGUAUAUUGUUUGCUCUAUCAUUUUAUAUUGUUAGUGUCUUACGAUGCUUCUGAUGUUCAGAAUACUAGGUAUUUAUGUGUUUGUUUAUACAGGAAUAAUUUUUUAUUUAUUGGUCAGGGACAUGUAUUGCAUGUGUCGAUGACAUGCUAUUUUAAUUUAUUCCUGUAAUUGAACCAAUUAAUUAUUAAUACAGCACAACAUGUUAUUGAAUCUUCUGAUAAGUUGUUUAAAGAGGUCUAAUUUUGCAUUGGAAUGUAAUUGAUGCUAUAUUACCCCUUCUAUGGUGGUUGAGUUAUUAAAUUUUGUUCUCUUGCUGUAUAUUUUUUUUUUUUUUUUUUUUUUUUUUUUUUUUUUUUUUUUUUUUUUUUUACUUUCAGCAAACUAUCAAUUUCCUUUUAAUCAAUUUAUUGUCUUGUUCUCAUGCUGAGAUUUUACCAAUUUGAUUGUGGGUCAUCUGGGUGAUAAUGUUAUUUAAGGCUCUGUUUGGGACAAUUGUUUUGGAACAUUUCCUGGUUUAAAUUAGUGGAUGAACAACUGAACAACAGAUAUAUUUCUGGAUAUAUAGCAGUCUGUGCCCUGUGAGGUGUGAGAAGGAGUGUCCGUGCUUCAUAGGUAUUUUCACUUGUCAGCCACAACCAUUCUUUUAUAUAGAAUGUUAGGGUAGAAAGGAGUAAUUCAUUUCUGUAACAGUCCCACAAUUAAUCAAAAUAUACCCGUUGAAAUUUGGCUAAUAAAGUGGGGUUGAAGUUACAAAUUGAUUUGACAAUAGUAAAUCAAUAGCAAUGAAUCAUGGAUGUUGACAAAAUCUGACCAAUUAAGAGGAAAUUAAGGCA
rnacentral:lncRNA from 1 species